UCAUGACAGACUGCUCAAGACGAAAGCAGAAAGCGUUUGUUCAAGUCAGCUGUGAAAUUACUACAAUUAACACUUACCGCCAUUACCACAGUAACAUCAAUGCUGAGCUGACAUCGCCAAGGUGACAAAGCAAAUUUCCUUGCCACUCAAGUAAUCAAGUUCAAGUUGUUCUCAGCGUUUUGAAGCUCGCUGUUGUGAAAAGGUGACCAAUUGUGAAAGUUAAGGAUGAAGUUUGCGAUUUUCGAUUUUGGAGACAAUACUUUUGAUAUUGGACAAACAUCAUGGAUACAAGAUAAAAAUUCUACAACAUUUGACAACGAAUCCUGGCUCUUUACCCACGAAAUGAUUGUCAAGUGGCCCAUAGACUUCAAUGCAGCGAAACGAAAAAUGCGAAAAAAAAUUGAUGUAGAUACAAUCAAAACGAAAGAUAUCCAGCAAGAAUUUUAAAAUUUGGAGAUGACUUUGCCUCCAUGGAUUCAUGCUUAGAGAUGUAUCUGAAAAGUGGGAAAACUUCAACUCCUAAAAGAGGAAAAGGUCAAAGAAUCUCACAAAAGAAUUAUAAAUACCAUUCCGACUCCGAUAAGGAGGAUUAUGAAGUCCAGUUUGGUUCACAUUUAAGUAAAAAACCCCCUUUAAAGAGAAGAAAAGUCCAGAAAGAUAGUUCAAAGAAAAACUCCUUAUAUUCCAUGGUUAAAGAAAAAUAUAAACAAACAGAGUUUGAAACAGUGCAAAAUGAAGAAGACAACUUAAACGAGAAUCGUUCUUUAAGU